rnacentral:rRNA from 1 species
GACGUAGGGCGCGAGCGUUGUCCGGAUUUAUUGGGCGUAAAGAGCUCGUAGGCGGCUUGUCGCGUCGUUCGUGAAAACCUGCAGCUCAACUGCAGGCUUGCGGUCGAUACGGGCAGGCUAGAGUUCGGUAGGGGAGACUGGAAUUCCUGGUGAUAGCGGUGAAAUGCGCAGAUAUCUGGAGGAACACCGGUGGCGAAGGCGGCAUCCUGGACCGACACUGACGCUGAGGAGCGAAAGCCAGGGGAGCAAACGGG